rnacentral:rRNA from 1 species
AGCUCUCUGCCAAUAUGAAAAUAGAAGUAUGGAGGGUGAGGCCUGCCCAAUGGUUGUAUCUAAAAAAGGUCGGUAAGAGCCGACUUCAUAAAGACGAUUGAAUGGCCGCGGUAACACUGACCGUGAUAAUGUAGCGUAAUCAAUAGCCAAUUAAUUGUUGGCCGGUAUGAAUGGCGUCACGAAGGCCCCACUGUCUUAAGAAAAUUCCCAGUGAAAUUGAAUUCGUAGUGAAGAUGCUACGUCCAAAUUGUUAGACGAAGAGACCCCAUUGAGCUUUACUGGAAACUUAUACGGCUGAAAUUUUAAACUUAAAUAAAUAGCUAAAUUAUGUGGUGUAAGACAUUUUGUCAGAGUCUUGUUCUUCGGUCCUACUCUCAUAAAGAGAAAAUUGAUCUUGGUCUAAGAUUUAACCGUUUAUGGAACCCACUCUUCUAUUUUAAGAGAGCUAACUCUCUUUUAUGGUUUUUUUAACUAUGAGAGGAACGACGUAAGUUAGACAGUUUGGUUGGGGCGCCCGCCUUUUAAAAAGUAACGAAGGUAAGCUUAAGGUGCAUAAUUAAUAGCAGCAGCCUGACUGCAAGGGGGACGUCCCGAGCAGACACCAAAAGCCGUUAAGAACUAUUGUCUUAGAGCGGAAAAAGGUGGGCUAUAAUGACCCGUCAAUUUAGAGUGAAAUAGUUGACGAUCAACGGAUAAAAGCUACCAUGGGGAUAACAGCGUAAUAUCGUUCGAGAGCUUUCAUCGACGACGAUGUUUGCGACCUCGAUGUUGAAUUGCAGCAUCCUAGGGUGCAGUCGCUCCUAAGGGUUGGUCUG